GUUCCAGAUGAGGAGGUCGUUCUUCUCUCUCAAAUUUCAAAUUUCACUCCCUCUCUUUGCGUCCGAAGACACACUCUCUCGCCUUCGGCUCCGGCACGUCGCCUCCGCCGUCGCCGCCACGAGCCCCAUUGGUGCUGGGUUUGAAGCUCGUAUCCGCCUCCGGCACUUCGGCUCAAAUCCGCAUCCGGCACGUUGUGACUCUUUUUCUCGUGGGUUUUGGCUUCCAAAACUAGGUGGCGGGAUCUUUGGAGGCAUUGGUCCAGGAAUGCUAGGUCUAGAAAUGCCUCUGCAUCAGCAGCAGAAGCCCCCAAAUGCCCAAAACCCUCACUACUUGCACCAAUAGGUGGUUCGAGGGGUCAUAGUGGGCAAGGACAAGAAGAUGAAAACGCUCACAACGAGAGGACAUCUUCGCGCAAAAGGCCGAGGAAAUGCCUACUCUCGCUCUCGAUGGCACUCCUUCGGCAACUGAGCGGCGAGGUGACAAGCAUGAUGCAAGACGGCAACAGGAGUCUGUGGGAGAAGAAGCCGUAGAUGAAGGCGAAGGUGUUGUAGCUGGAGGAGCAGCAAGUGAGCAACCAGCUGCAAGCGUUCGAGCUCGAAAAGGCAGCGGCUGAAGUGGGUGAAGUUCAGCAACAAGAAGGACAGGGAAAUGGAGAGAGCCAAGCUCGAGAACGAGAGAAUGGUGCUUCUCAUCUGCCAGAAGCUCAAAUUGCUCGAUCCUCAACAGGAACAGCAACAUUCAUUCAACAAAUGGAGUGAACCGUCCUCGAUCACAGGAUAAUUUUUACAUUAUCUAAGAUAGAGUAGAAACAACGAACUGAUUAUUCUUAAGAAAUGUAGUUGUGAUCUCAGUUUUUCUAUAUGAAUUCAAUUGUGUA